rnacentral:rRNA from 1 species
CCUACGGGUGGCAGCAGUAGGGAAUCUUCCACAAUGGGCGAAAGCCUGAUGCAGCAACGCCGCGUGGGUGAAGAAGGUCUUCGGAUCGUAAAACCCUGUUGUUAGAGAAGAAAGUGCGUGAGAGUAACUGUUCACGUUUCGACGGUAUCUAACCAGAAAGCCACGGCUAACUACGUGCCAGCAGCCGCGGUAAUACGUAGGUGGCAAGCGUGAUCCGGAUUUAUUGGGCGUAAAGGGAACGCAGGCGGUCUUUUAAGUCUGAUGUGAAAGCCGUCGGCUUAACCGGAGUAGUGCAUUGGAAACUGGGAGACUUGAGUGCAGAAGAGGUGAGCGGAACUCCAUGUGUAGCGGUGAAAUGCGUAGAUAUAUGGAAGAACACCAGUGGCGAAGGCGGCUCUCUGGUCUGUAACUGACGCUGAGGUUCGAAAGCGUGGGUAGCAAACAGGAUUAGAUACCCGGGUAGUC